ACAAGUAGCCCAUCUCUUCUCAAUCCCAAUAUCCAUUAACCUAUACCAUCAAGAAUGCGCACAUCGACAUACAACUUCUACAUACACCAGCGUACAGUACAUACGCACACCCCAUAAGUCUUCUUCCUCACUUCCCCGAUAAACAGUACAUCCAGUGCAAUGGCACCUUUGUUCCUCAUUUUUGGCUCGUUGAUUUGUUCCACGUAUGGCUUCGAGAGAAUGUGAUUCCAUCCGCACCAUCCACGUAGCCUCGAAUCUUGCCGAAUUCGUCGAGAAUUUAGGAAUUCUUUGAAAUGACUCGAGCAUAUUCCUUAUCCUUUUUGGAUUUGAAUUUCAAAAUUUGAAUUUUAUCCGAAAAAUCCUAGAAUUCCAUACGAUUCCCAUUCCCUCCCCCAAUUUCCCCCAAAUUCUUCUCUAUAUAAAUCCAUUUCUUAUUUAGAUCAAAAGGUUACAAAAAAGAGGGAUAAAAAAAAAGAUAUAAUGUUCUGAAAAGAGAUAGAAAUUUUACCCUAAAAGGUAAAAAAAAAAUCUCCUGAGUUACCAAAAUUCCGAUCAAAUCGAGAAGGGCUCUUGAACUUGAAAUUUUCAGCUCAUUAAUUUUCUCCGGUGAAGUUCCGUCGUGGUGUGAAAAUCGACUCCUGCUCGUCGUCCCAAAUGCUGCUCAAAAAGAGUGGGCCACGAAGACCCAAAUCUCUCUUAUUCAAGUCUGUCUCUUCAAAGUCGGAGCAAAGUAGGUGAAUUCAAAGCAAGGGAAGUUAAAAAUACGGGUCUUGAAGGCCGUUUAAUAGGCUGUAUACGGUCUUAUAUACAUUCAAUAUACAGGGACAGCAAGGAGUAUACUUUCAGUGUAUACAUGAUAUACACCAGGUGUAUACAUGGAUAUACAAUGGAACAGAAACUAAAGUCCACUAUUUUGGCAGCAGUUUUAGCCCAGCCACUUAGUCCAGACGAACAGAAACUAAGUGUUGAGCCCAAUCUUAUUUAUUUCAUUUAUCCUUUACCUAA